AUUGAACGCUGGCGGCAGGCCUAACACAUGCAAGUCGAGCGGAUGAAGGGAGCUUGCUCCUGGAUUCAGCGGCGGACGGGUGAGUAAUGCCUAGGAAUCUGCCUGGUAGUGGGGGAUAACGUCCGGAAACGGGCGCUAAUACCGCAUACGUCCUGAGGGAGAAAGUGGGGGAUCUUCGGACCUCACGCUAUCAGAUGAGCCUAGGUCGGAUUAGCUAGUUGGUGGGGUAAAGGCCUACCAAGGCGACGAUCCGUAACUGGUCUGAGAGGAUGAUCAGUCACACUGGAACUGAGACACGGUCCAGACUCCUACGGGAGGCAGCAGUGGGGAAUAUUGGACAAUGGGCGAAAGCCUGAUCCAGCCAUGCCGCGUGUGUGAAGAAGGUCCUCGGAUUGUAAAGCACUUUAAGUUGGGAGGAAGGGCAGUAAGUUAAUACCUUGCUGUUUUGACGUUACCAACAGAAUAAGCACCGGCUAACUUCGUA
rnacentral:rRNA from 1 species